rnacentral:rRNA from 1 species
CCCUUAGAUGUUCUGGGCCGCACGCGCGCUACACUGAUGAAUGCAACGAGCUCUACCCUUGACCGAAAGGCCCGGGUAAACUUGUGAAACUUCAUCGUGAUGGGGAUAGAUUAUUGCAAUUAUUAAUCUUCAACGAGGAAUUCCUAGUAAGCGCGAGUCAUCAGCUCGCGUUGAUUACGUCCCUGCCCUUUGUACACACCGCCCGUCGCUGCCCGGAACUGAGCCGUUUCGAGAAGACUGAGGAUUGCUGACUUGAGGCCUUCACGGGCCUCUAGUCGGUGAAAAUCAAUUUAAUCGCAGCGGCUUGAACCGGGCAAAAGUCGUAACA